GACGUAGGGCGCGAGCGUUGUCCGGAUUUAUUGGGCGUAAAGAGCUCGUAGGCGGCUUGUCGCGUCGUCCGUGAAAACCUGCGGCUCAACUGCAGGCUGGCGGUCGAUACGGGCAGGCUGGAGUUCGGUAGGGGAGACUGGAAUUCCUGGUGUAGCGGUGAAAUGCGUUGAUAUCCACAGGAACUCCGGUGGCGAAGGCGGCACGCUGGACCCCUUCUGACGCUGAGGCGCGAAAGCCAGGGGAGCGAACGGG
rnacentral:rRNA from 1 species